UACAGAGGGGGCAAGCGUUGUUCGGAAUUACUGGGCGUAAAGGGCGCGUAGGCGGCCUUCUAAGUCGAACGUGAAAUCCCCGGGCUCAACCCGGGAACUGCGUCCGAUACUGGAAGGCUUGAAUCCGGGAGAGGGAUGUGGAAUUCCAGGUGUAGCGGUGAAAUGCGUAGAUAUCUGGAGGAACACCGGUGGCGAAGGCGACAUCCUGGACAGUGACUGACGCUGAGACGCGAAAGCGUGGGGAGCAAACAGG
rnacentral:rRNA from 1 species